rnacentral:rRNA from 1 species
GGGGAGAUUCAGCGUGUCUCGCGUGUGGGCGAGCGGUACUCGUGCGACGAGCGGCGUACGCGCCGCGAGCGCCCCGUGCCGCCGCUGUCCCGCCGCGUACGCGUGCACUUCUCCACCCAGUAGGACGUCGCGACCCGUUGGGCGUCGGUCUGAGGCCCGCGGUGGAGCCCGCGCGUGUUCGCACGCACGGACCCGCGGUCGCCCGACCGGCUCGCUCGACGGUAUGACUGUGGCGAGGGGCCGCGACUCGUUCGCGUCCGACCCGUCGCAAGCGCGCGCGGUCAACUCGAUGCGUCGGACUUCGUGUGCCGGCCUCGAGCCCGUGCGGCUGCUGGCGGCGGUGUUCUCGGACAGACUCCUUACACGCCCGUCGGCGACGCUAUUGCUUUGGGUACUUUCAGGGCCCGUCUUGAAACACGGACCAAGGAGUCUAGCAUGUGCGCGAGUCACUGGGACUUGAUAAACCCAAAGGCGAAAUGAAAGUGAAGGCGGGCCUCGCGCCCGCCUAGGGAAGAUCGGUCGUACCACGACAGGGUGGCGGCCGCGCACUCCCGGGGCGUCUCGCGCUCAUCGCGAGCUGAGGCGCACCUAGAGCGUACAUGCUGGGACCCGAAAGAUGGUGAACUAUGCCUGGUCAGGACGAAGUCAGGGGAAACCCUGAUGGAGGUCCGUAGCGAUUCUGACGUGCAAAUCGAUCGUCGGAACUGGGUAUAGGGGCGAAAGACUAAUCGAACCAUCUAGUAGCUGGUUCCCUCCGAAGUUUCCCUCAGGAUAGCUGGCACUCGUUUGAGACUGAGUCUCAUCCGGUAAAGCGAAUGAUUAGAGGCCUUGGGGUCGAAACGACCUCAACCUAUUCUCAAACUUUAAAUGGGUGAGAUCUCCGGCUUGCUUGAAAGCAAUUAUUAUGAAGCCGNGAGA